ACAUGACACUGACGCAUUGAAAGUUCAGGAAAUCACCUUUGGUUGUGUCUUUACAACUAGAUCUUGGAAUGGCGCAGUUCUGAAAAGCUCGGAAAGUUGUAAGCGCCUCUCUUCUUCAGCUUCUCUACGGGUCUCUCCACUUUCAGUGAUGAUCCUGCGCUAUCUAAUUCUGCUCCACCGGCAUUAAUGUCAGCCAUUGAACUUCGACCAGCACUGUCGACCCAUGAAUGUCUGUACAACCAAACAAAGUAAAUUAUUAGUUGGAAGUUCAUAUCUGUGUAUCUAAUCCAGCUGCUUUCAAACAUUCGCUGACGAUAGUUUGAUCUACGAUAACUGAUGACUGUAAACGCGUUGGAAGUUGAGUUUCACCAUCGUAUCGGGACUUCAACUCAGGUAAAAGAUGUGAAGCCUCUUUAUCACGUGCUUCAACAACCUACAUAAUGGUUCACAAAAUUUUG